GUGCUGAAUAAACCUUGCUUUUCCAUAUCUCCGAGAGCUGUUUGUCUCCUUCCGUUGCCACGGUUUUUGCGGUUUCAGCAACACCACAACACCAUGAGCUGUGGCAUAGGUUGCAGAUGCUCAGAUCUGGCGUUGCUGUGGCUCUGGCGAAGGCCAUCGUCUACAGCUCCGAUUAGACCCCUAUCCUGGAAACCUCCAUAUGCCACAACUGUGGCCCUAGAAAUGAACAAAAUAAAUAAAUAAAAGAUGAGUAUAUUUUUAUACUCCAGUGAUAAAAUUUGGAAAAAUAAAUUUUAUUAUUUUUUGUCUCCUUUUUUCUUUUUUUUUUAGGGCCACAUGUGCAGCAUAGUGGAAGUUCCCAGGCUAGGGGUCCAAUCAGAGCUGCAGCCUCCAGCCUAUGCCACAGCCACAGCAAUGCUGCAUCCCAGCUGUGUGACCUACACGGCAGCUCAUGGCAACACUGGAUCCUUAACCCACUGAGCAAGGUCAGGGAUUGAACUGACGUCCUCAUGGAUACUAGUCAGCUUUGUUACCACAGAGCCACAAUGGGAUCUCUGGAAAAAUAAAUUUUAAAAUGAUAUAAUCUUCAAUAGAAUUAAAAAAAAAAAAACCUUCAAAGUACCUAGAAAUGAAUCUACCAAAUAUUGUAUAGGAAUUAGGCUAAAAUUUUUUUUUUCUAAAUUACAAUAGUGAUGAAAAUUAUAUGGAUUGCAGUCAAGCAUAGAUUUUUUAAAUUUGGAAGAAUAAAUUCUUAAGGUUUCCUGUUGGGAGACAUGUUUCUAUAAUCUUUUCUUAGCCUCUUUGCUUCUAUUUUCUAUGCUAAAACUCCAUCUUGUCCUGUUUUACUUUACCCCAUAUUCCUGCUUGAAAAACAGUCACAGUGAUGGUAAAUAACUUAAGCUUAAGAACAAAGACCAAAAAGCAUAAUUAUUCAUGUGGUCAGCUGGAUGAGGACAUAAUGCGUUGAUCUAAGCAUGCCAGACCUGUGCAGAUUGGCAUGCCAUUUGUAUAGCAGAAUAUGUCCUGUUAAAAUAAGAGAGAGAGGAACUUCAAGGCCCCAGGGGGUUUAUGAGCAGUCGUUAGCAGAAUAUGCAUCAGCAAGGAGAAGAAGGUGCAAACCUUGGCAUGCUGGGUUGCCCCAAAUAGGCACGCCUUUUGUGGAAGCACAGUGAUGAUUCUAUAGAUGCUAUCUAUUCAUAGACAGCAAAGGCCAGGCUUCCUCAAUGCUAAUGACUGUUAAAUGCCUAAAGGUCAGAAUAAAAGCUUAACCAGCUACCAGCCAUGUGGCUUUUAAAAUAAUAAAAGAACUUUUAAAAUAAUAAAAGAAGUAUAUCCUGCACCUACAACUCCCUCCUCACUUGAGGUAAUCCUAAAGAGCACAAUAAAAGCAGUGUGGCUUCUUGAGGUGGCACUUUUGGACCUUGAGUCCCCGGUUCCCACCUUUAAUUAAGAUAAAUGUCUCUGUGUCUUGUUUUAUGUUAACUUUUUCUUAAGUUUCACAGCACUCCUUCUUCAGCCCUCACCUGCUGAGCUGGUCUCCGCAGUUUCCUAUCUAUAUAAAUCUUAUUAGAUGAUACCCAUAUAGCUGAUAUUCAGUAUCCAAAGGGGACUUCCUUACUUUAUAAAAGGAAUGGUGAUGGAAAUAAAUAGUUAUUUUUGGCAUGCUUCAUAUGUUUUAUAUUAACUCAAAAAUAUUUUAAGCCUGCCUAUUUUUUGGACAUCCAAGGUGUGAAGUUUCUCAAAUCAAAGAGUCAAAAAUCAAUAUUUUCUAAGCUAGUUUUAUAAAGGUUAAGUGUUAUUUAGAAUAUUUUUCAGUGAUUCUAUCUCUCUCUCUUUUGUGGAUAUGUAGUGACAUACAAAUACUUAAGUUCAAACAAAUGAUUAUAAUAAAUUGCUUAUAAAAUAUUUAAUUGCUAGUCUAAAACAUCUGUCUCUGAGUGGUGAUUUUUGCUCAAACCCUUUAGGAUGUAAUGAAACACCCUAGGGAUUUACCAGUUCUUUCAAGUCUAUAAUAGAGCCUUACAUAAAAAUCUUUGUCCUUAAAGGUAAUUACAGAUACAUCCAUAUAUUUACUCCCAAUAGAGGAUUCCUCUCUAUGUCAUUCUGAUAUUGUCAGUUACUGUAAUGCAAUAACACAAUUCAUCCAUUAUUUCCACAAUAGGUAGUUCCUCUUCUCCCCUCACCUUGCCUGAGGCUCCCUGCAGUACACUAGAGGCAAAUUAUUAAUUCCUCUGAAAGAAACAUCUAAUGAAUACAGUGUCAGAACUUCAAAAUAAAGAGCAGUGCCAAAGAUUCUAAGAAUCAAGCUCUCCAGCACUCUAUCUGUACAAAAGUGGAUGAAUCCUUGAUGGGCAGACUAGAAACCCAAAAGCAGCAAAACAAGCAGAUGACUUUGAGUGGUAGCAUGUUGACCCCAAACUGUCAGAUAAGAAUUGAUGACAAAAAACUGAGUCAGAAAUGUUUAACUGUUUUCCUUGUGUUUUUAAGGAUCUUUUAAAAUAUAUAUACAUACACACACUAAAUGUUUUAUAUUAUAAAGUUUAAUUUUUUCUUUGGACUUUAUAACUCUCAAUUUAACAGGAUAGGUGAAAUGAAUUAUCCUUUUAAUAAUCCUGACUCUAUUUACAUGCUCUUUUUGCUGCAGCACUUUACAAAUGUACUUCAAAAGUUUACUCCUAGAGAGAGGACACAAAACAAAAUCUGUUGUACCAAUUUCAUAGCCAAGAAAAAGAUUCAGGCCCAGGAAGUAACAGAAUGUAUAUAGGAUUUACUUGUAAUAAAAAAAUAAUAUUUAAUGAACUAUUUGAAAAAGCUCGCAAGAUUUGGCAAAAAACCCACAAAAUUAUUUACCCAAUACAAUGAGACUAUGUCUUUAUUGGGCUAGAGAUGGGCCAGAGAGGCCAGUACAGAUUACAAAGUCAUAGAUAAGAAGACCAGUUAUAUAAUAACAAGCGUUAAUAGCCCUAAAAUUGGCCACAUACAUAUUAUUAAUUAUGAACUAUUUCAGAACUUAGAAGAUGAGUGUUACUGUAUCUUUAUAAGCCUUUUUGUCUUAUUCUGUGAAAGUAGCCACAGAUGUACCCUGUUGGUUAAAACUGAUUACUUGCCAGCUCCCUUCAUUCCUGCAUCUCAUGAUUUUAUGAAUAAAGGCUCUAUAUGCUGAUUUUUUUUUUGAAAGAACAUUCUCUUCUGAAUGGUAUUAUUGCCUUUUGUAUUAUAGCUUUAUAUGCUUUUGUGAAAUUGCUUUGCUUUCAUUUAUUUAAACACAAAGUACGAAAUAGUUAAGAUUGACCAUAUUACAAAUAUUUUUGACUUUUCUAAAAUAAUAACUUGAUCAUUUCCUAAUAUUGUGCUUACCAUAGGCACCAAAAGUUAAUGAAUAACAUUAAUAUAUUUACCUAAUCAGAUUGUAAUAUGUAUAUCCAUGUUCUCAACAACUAGCAGAAAUUGACACAAGUGUGUGGUCUUUCAUAGAUUUGAAAUCUGAAAAUAUUUUGAUUACAAAACCUUUUGUUUGUUUGUUUGUUUGUUUGUUUUUUGGCCUUUUUAGGGCUGAACCAGAGGCACAUGGAAAUUCCCAGGCUAGGGGUUGAAUUGGAGCUAGAGCUGCUGGUCAGCACCACAGCCAGAGCUAUGCAAUCCAAGCCACGUCUGUGACUGCAGCUCACUGCAACACCAGAUCCUUACCUCAGUGAGCAAGGCCAGGGAUUGAACCAGCAUCCUCAGGGAUGCUAGUCAGAUUCAUUUCUGCUGAGCCAUGACAGGAAUUCCACAAAACCUUUUAAACUGAAUAUUCCAUUUCUCUUUUGAGGAACACAUUAUUGUUUUGAAAAACAAUUGAUUUAAGGUUUUAGUUCAUUUCUCAGUUCAUUAUUUCUUUCAUAUAUCUUUCAUGGUUCUUACACUUGUUUGCUUAAUAAAGUCAUUUAAUUUGAAUUUCUUUGUAAAGAUAUGUUUUCACAUAAACACACACAGAAUAUGCUUUCAGAAAUUGUGUAAACAUUUCCGCUUCUUUAAUUUAAGAAAAACUGUUGGUCAAAUGUCAUAUUUCUAAUUUUUAUAAAACUAUAAAACCAAGAACAUUUUAACUUUGCUAUAGAAAACAGGAUGCAGUUUUGAUAAUAAAUAUUGUUUGAUACUGGGACUUAAAUUACGAACAUGAUAAAGGUUGGUGCAAAUAAUGGAAAAAUAGAUGACAUGGUCAUUCAUUACUUGGGUUACACUGAUUCUUGCCUUUCAGUGGGAAUUUAGACCUGCUGUUACCAGAUAAAUCAUUUUCUUUUCAUUUUUUAAAGUUUUCUUGAAGAUAGUUGAUUUAUAAUGUUGUAAUCAUUUCUGCUGACAACAAAGUGAUUCAGUUGUAUGUAUACAUACAUUAAUUCUUUUUCAGAAUCUUUUUCGGAUAGAUUAUCAUAGAUAUUGGACACAUUUCCCUAUGCUAAUAAAUCACUUUCUUCAAGAGCAUUAUAUAAUUUUGUUUUAUGUAGCAUGAAUCAAUCCUAUUUUAAAGUUAAUUAAUUACUACUUACUUAAAUAAAAAUAUUUGCCAAACUAAUACCUCCUCUGGAUCAAUAUGGUACAUAUUCCAUCACUUUACAAUCACCUUAAAAUUCAGAUUUAUAAUCUAGAUGGUGUUCAUAUAUUGCUCAAUCAAUUUAGCAAUUUUAGAUAUGAUCUUUUGGUGUCUUAUUAUGAAAAUUAAUAGUUGAAAAUACGUUAGGUUUUUUCUUCCUAUUUGCUUUUUAGGGCCACACCUGCAGCAUAUGGAGGUUCCCAGGCUAGGGGUCCAAUCAGAGCUACAGCCGCCUGCCACAGCCACAGCCACAGCAUCACAGGAUCUGAGCCAUGUCUUUGACCUACACCGGAGCUUAUGGCAACACCAGAUCCUUAACCCACUGAGUGAGGCCAGGGAUCGAACCUGCAACCACAUGGUUAUUCCUUGGACUCAUUUCCACUGAGCCACAAUGGGAAUUCCAAAAGAUGUUAGUUUUGAAUAAUUUUUUUUUAGUUAUAUGCAGUUAAAAUUGUAUUUACCUUUGCUAUUGAGACAGAAUAAUAUCUCAAGCAGUUACUGUAGGAGCAUGGGCUCCCAUACAUCCCUUUGAAAUGGAUAUUGAUUAACAUUUGUGGCUUAAGGGCUCCAGGGAAUAACACCUCCAAAGGCCUUGUUUUAUUAUGGGAAAUGCACAUUCCCCACAGGCUUUGUUGACUGUGAGAAAUGUGAAUCUCUAGCCCACUCCUCAACUGAUAGAAAAGGAAUGAGAGGAAUGGUGACAAUCUAAGGGAAGAAAAGGACAAAGAAACCAUAAAACUUAUGGGACAUUUCCAAUCCUAAAACCCCUAUUGGACAAGGACUGAUACAGGUAAUUGAGCAAGGCCGAUGGGAGAAAAUCACAUCUUUCUGGACCGCAUGUUGGUAUCCCCCAUCUUUAAGGAAUAAAAACCCCUAACAGACAAUACAGAAAGGAGGCUCUUCUCUCCACUCCCAGCUGUCCUGGGAACUAUUUGAUUUUCGUUAACAAAGACUGCUUGCUUGCUGCCUGUGUGUUCACAGAGUUCAUUAUUCGACUGCCAUGAGCAAGACCUGGAUUCUGGUACCAUCUUUCCAGCAUCACUAUUAUUACUUGAUUUAUCAAUUGGAUUCUGAUUACCCCACAAUCUCAAUAAUUAGAUCAAAAUCUACUGUGAAACCAGAUCUAUCUUUAAUUAUUCCCAAUUAAGAUAAUUAAUAGCAAUUAUAUAUAAAAUUUGUAUUUGCUUUCUUUUGACAAAUUAUUAUCAGUGCAAUAGUCCUCCAGAAUUUUACUCUAAGCAAAAGUAAAAUAUUCUUUCCUCUUCUUUUAUUUUUAAACAACCACACUCUCAUGGCAUAUGGAAGUUCCCAGGCUAGGGAUUAAAUUGGAACAGCAGCUAAGUCCCACUCCACAGCCAUAGGAAUAUCAAAUCCAAGGCACAUCCUAGGCCACAGCUUACAACACUGGAUCCUUAACCCACUAAUCAAGGCCAGGGAUGGAACCAGCAUCCUCACAGAGACAACACUGGGCCAUUACUCUGCUGAUCCACAAUGGGAACUCAAAAUAUUAUUUUCUUUAGAUGCAAUGAACUGGAGUUUCUGUUGUGAGUUAAGGAUCCGGCUUUGUCUUUGUGGUGGCUCCUGUCAUUGCUGAGGCACAGGUACGCUAUAGAUUGCUGCUUGGGGUUAAGGAUCUGGCCUGCCAGCAGUUGUAUCUUGGAUUUAAUUCUUGGCCCAGAAACUUCCAUAUGC
rnacentral:lncRNA from 1 species